rnacentral:rRNA from 1 species
UACGUAGGGUGCAAGCGUUGUCCGGAAUUAUUGGGCGUAAAGAGCUCGUAGGCGGUCUGUCGCGUCGGAUGUGAAAACCCGGGGCUCAACCCCGGGCCUGCAUUCGAUACGGGCAGACUAGAGUUCGGUAGGGGAGUCUGGAAUUCCUGGUGUAGCGGUGAAAUGCGCAGAUAUCAGGAGGAACACCGGUGGCGAAGGCGGGACUCUGGGCCGAUACUGACGCUGAGGAGCGAAAGCGUGGGGAGCGAACAGG